CCUACGGGGGGCAGCAGUAGGGAAUCUUCCACAAUGGGCGAAAGCCUGAUGGAGCAACGCCGCGUGGGUGAAGAAGGUCUUCGGAUCGUAAAACCCUGUUGUUAGAGAAGAAAGUGCGUGAGAGUAACUGUUCACGUUUCGACGGUAUCUAACCAGAAAGCCACGGCUAACUACGUGCCAGCAGCCGCGGUAAUACGUAGGUGGCAAGCGUUAUCCGGAUUUAUUGGGCGUAAAGGGUACGCAGGCGGUCUUUUAAGUCUGAUGGGAAAGGCUUCGGCUUAACCGGAGUAGUGCAUUGGAAACUGGGAGACUGGAGUGCAGAAGAGGAGAGUGGAACUCCAUGUGUAGCGGUGAAAUGCGUAGAUAUAUGGAAGAACACCAGGGGCGAAAGCGGCUCUCUGGUCUGUAACUGACGCUGAGGUUCGAAAGCGUGGGUAGCAAACAGGAUUAGAUACCCGGGUAGUC
rnacentral:rRNA from 1 species